rnacentral:rRNA from 1 species
UUUUAGAUAAGUUCUGCUCAAUGACACUAUUAAAUAGCUGCAGUAAAUUAACUGUACUAAGGUAGCAUAAUAAAUUGCUUUGUAAUUUAAAGCUUGAAUGAAGGAAACCAUGUGAAACAAACUUUUUUAACUAAAAUAGUAUAAAUUAAUAUUUAAGUGAAAAAUCUUAAAUUAAAACAAAAGACAAGAAGACCCUUUAGAACUUUACAAAUUAAAUCAACCAAAAUGAAAUUAUUUGUUAAAUUGGGGAGAUUUUUAAAUAAAUAAAUCUUUAAAUAUAAUAAAAAUGAUUUAAAUCAAAUUAUAUUAUCCAUAAAUGAAAUAAAACAAGUUACCUAAGGGAUAACAGCGUAAAAUUUUUGAGAAGAUCUUAUUUACAAAAUAAAUUACGACCUCGAUGUUGGAUUAAGAA